GAGUUUGAUCAUGGCUCAGGAUGAACGCUGGCGGCGUGCCUAAUACAUGCAAGUCGAGCGGCAGCACGGUCUUCGGACUGGUGGCGAGCGGCGGACGGCUGAGUAACGCGUAGGAAUAUACCCCAAAGUGAGGGAUAACUGCCCGAAAGGGUGGCUAAUACCGCAUGUGGUCUUCGGACUAAAGCCUUCGGGCGCUUUGGGAAUAGCCUGCGUAAGAUUAGCUAGUUGGUGAGGUAAUGGCUCACCAAGGCGACGAUCUUUAGCUGGUCUGAGAGGAUGACCAGCCAGACUGGAACUGAGACACGGUCCAGACUCCUACGGGAGGCAGCAGUAGGGAAUUUUCCACAAUGGGCGAAAGCCUGAUGGAGCAACGCCGCGUGCAGGAUGAAGGCCCUCGGGUCGUAAACUGCUUUUAUGUGCGAAGAAUAUGACGGUAACACAUGAAUAAGGGUCGGCUAACUACGUG
rnacentral:rRNA from 1 species